rnacentral:lncRNA from 13 species
AACAAUAAGUCUCCAAUGCACCACCACCCACCGGAAAAAGAGCACACAGUGACUGACAAGGAUCCAGCACAGGUGCAGGAGCCACCAGUGGUCAGGAACAGCUGCAGUUCGUUUGGACCAAGGUAAGGCUGGAGUUCCAAAGCAAGAGGCUAAGAGGCGGUGGGAAUGUUGGAAGAUGUAAUGAAGCUUCUGUAGAGUCUUUUCAAGUUUCAAACUGGUUCCUCGAACAGGUGAUAUUAAACAACCAGAUAUGGUAUAUUUGUGAGCUUGAAGGUUUACAUCUUGUUUGGUUACAUUGGUUGUCAAACAGGAAGCAAUUAGAAAUGUGCCUGGCAUGUAAGAACUGCCUACUAAAGGACAGCAGUAACUAUUCAUCAGUGCUGUACCUUCCUCUGUCACUCAAGUGCUUUUCAUCCUUAGAAUCUGGUUCAAGUCUCAUCCUCCAUGACACUGCUCUGGAUACUCUAGCUCAGUCACACUGUGGCAUCUACCACACAUUUAAUCAUUUAUUUGUCUUCUAAUUGUUUCCUGGUGUUCAUAAUAUCCCUCAUCCUCUACUCCAAGUGCCUGAAGGGACAGUGCCAAGUAGUAUAGCACUGCCAUCAAUGCAUGGUGCUGGUGGAGACUGCUGGGGUGCAAAACCCUGUUCUUCUACUAGCUAACUGUAUGCUCUAGUGCAAGUUAUUUGACAUCUCAAGGCCAUUAAUAUGUUUGUGCACAUAGCUUUUGUUUUAUUUUGGGUUGUUUUCUUCUCAGCAAUGGGAUUACUGUGUCAAAAGAUAUUGUUAUAGCUGUGUGACUUAGGCAGUUACAUACAUCUUAUGUCUUAGUUUCCUUGUAUGUAAAAUGAAGAUCAUAGACUUUCUCAUAGUGUGACUCUGAUGAUUAGCAGAUAAUACACAUAGUUUCUGGCAAAUAGUAAACAGUGUGUUCAUGCUAACUAUUAUUAUUGUUUGAUUGAUUGAAAUUACUGUGCUAACAUUUCUUUAUGCUCUGCUGAUCACAGGAUCAGAAGGAUGUUUGACAGAGAAAAAUAAAUCAAAUUAUUCCCUUAACUGAGGCUUUUGU